rnacentral:rRNA from 1 species
UUGGAGGGCAAGUCUGGUGCCAGCAGCCGCGGUAAUUCCAGCUCCAAUAGCGUAUAUUAAAGUUGUUGCAGUUAAAAAGCUCGUAGUUGAAUUUCGGGAUUAGUACGCUGGUCGUGCCUUCGGUACGUACUGGUGUUACUGAUUCCUACCUUCUGACGAACCAUCAUGUCAUUAAUUUGGUGGCGGGGAAUCAGGACUGUUACUUUGAAAAAAUUAGAGUGUUUAAAGCAGGCUCGCGCUUGAAUACAUUAGCAUGGAAUAAUGAGAUAGGACGUUGAUCCUAUUUUGUUGGUUUCUAGGAUUGACGUAAUGAUUAAUAGGGAUAGUUGGGGGCAUUAGUAUUCAAUUGUCAGAGGUGAAAUUCUUGGAUUUAUUGAAGACUAACUACUGCGAAAGCAUUUGCCAAGGAUGUUUUCAUUAAUCAAGAACGAAAGUUAGGGGAUCGAAGACGAUCAGAUACCGUCGUAGUCUUAACCAUAAACUAUGCCGACUAGGGAUCGGAUGAUGUUAUUUUUAAUGACUCAUUCGGCGCCUUACGGGAAAC